rnacentral:rRNA from 1 species
GACGAACGCUGGCGGCGUGCUUAACACAUGCAAGUCGAACGGAAAGGCCCUGCUUUUGUGGGGUGCUCGAGUGGCGAACGGGUGAGUAACACGUGAGUAACCUGCCCUUGACUUUGGGAUAACUUCAGGAAACUGGGGCUAAUACCGGAUAGGAGCUCCUGCUGCAUGGUGGGGGUUGGAAAGGUUCGGCGGUUGGGGAUGGACUCGCGGCUUAUCAGCUUGUUGGUGGGGUAGUGGCUUACCAAGGCUUUGCCGGGUAGCCGGCCUGAGAGGGUGACCGGCCACAUUGGGACUGAGAUACGGCCCAGACUCCUACGGGAGGCAGCAGUGGGGAAUAUUGCACAAUGGGCGGAAGCCUGAUGCAGCAACGCCGCGUGCGGGAUGACGGCCUUCGGGUUGUAAACCGCUUUCGCCUGUGACGAAGCGUGAGUGACGGUAAUGGGUAAAGAAGCACCGGCUAACUACGUG